rnacentral:tmRNA from 1 species
GACAGAGGUGGUCCUGACUGUGGGCGAGCCGGGGUUGCUGCUAGCCCGUAAAACUGGCAAAGGCAUAACAGCCGACAGAAACAGUUACGCUCUGGCUGCCUAGACAGCCAGCAUCCUGCCUGCUUCAGCCUGCGUAGCAGGGUCAGGGUGUCAUUUAGUGGGCUUACCUAACAGCUGACGCCCGUAAGCUGACAGGGAAAUUUAACGGGAUAGCUCCAGCGGAGCCUGGCAAUGGGCGCCAAACGGAGCGAAAUCUAAAUCACUGCCUACGCUCGUAGCUGGCCUCAUGUGGUCGUUCUUUCGGACGGUGGGUUCGACUCCCCCCGCCUCCACCA